GAAUUGCGAUACGUAGUGUGAAUUGCAGAAUUCAGUGAAUCAUCGAAUCUUUGAACGCACCUUGCACCCUCUGGCAUUCCGGAGGGUAUGCCUGUCUGAGUGUCGCGAAACCGAUCUCCCCGCACCCUUGUGUCCGGGGGGGUGUUGGGCGCUGCGGGACCCCCCCCACGGGGGUCCGGCUCGCUUCAAAUGCAGUGGUGGUGCCGAGGAGGCCUCGAUGCGCCGUCGGCUCGAAACGUAAUAACAUUCCGUGGAGAGCGGGCGGCGGCAGAGGCGGGCUCAGCGCGCUGCCUUACCCGGCUGGGGAGGGGGGCCGUCCCCCCUCCCCAACCGUUUUCAUCACCGACCUCAGAUCAGGUAGGACUACCCGCUGAACUUAA
rnacentral:misc_RNA from 1 species